AUCCAGCAGAGGAACCAGUUUCAGAAAAAGAACAUUUAAAAGAUUUAAUGAAUGGAAGUUCUCAGCACAGCUCGUCGAUUAAGAAUUAUUAUUCAAACACGGUGCCACCGAAAUCUAGCCCUCAAAUUGUACAAAAUAACAGUUCUUUCUAUAGAAGAAGUUCGAAGCAAACAGCUUCUGGCACCUCCAAUGCGACAAUGCUCAUUUUUUUAAAGAAGUCAACCUGUUGAGGGCAGAUGUAUAAGAUGUGAGAGAAAAUCAAGUAAUUCUUAAGAAUAUGAUUGAAAAUAUUGUCGGCAUUAAUUAUUCGACGCAUACACCUUUUGCACAACAAUACAGUUUAAAUAUUCCUUUCAAAACGCUUACCGAAUUUCAAACUUUAAAUGAAAAGUUCGAAGCGAUGAAGAAUGUUGCAAACGAUUUUGGAUUUUUGUAGAAGGGCUUAUUAGCUCUGUCUAUUGAUAAAGAGAAUCUUCGCAAAUCUGUCAUCAACAUAAUGAAAAAAUUGAUGUCACGAGAUGUGGCUAUGCAAUUCACUGCCAUGGGAAAGAACGCCAGGGAAGGAACUCUUCAAAAUUAAUGAAAUGUGCACAUAUAUUAUAGAUCUCUUGGUUAAAAAGCUGAAAAUAUCAGAAGAAGAGGUGCUGCAAAAAACGCAGUCCUAUAAUAAAAUGGCUAGGGAUCGAUAUUGAACUAGGGUCAAGCCUGGGCCAGGCUCGGCGAUCGAGUCAGGCCCUGGCCAGAUUUAGCGUUUUAUUUUAGCUUGACCCAGGCUUGAUCACCAUCCCUGGGCAUAGUUUUGACAGGCUUGGGCCCGAUUAGACCU